CCUAUGGGGGGCAGCAGGCGCGAAAACUUUACAAUGCGAGAAAUCGUGAUAAGGGAACCCCGAGUGCCCGUAAAUUCGGGCUGUCCGCCAGUGUAAAUAACUGGUGAAGAAAGGGCCGGGCAAGACCGGUGCCAGCCGCCGCGGUAAUACCGGCGGCUCGAGUGGUGGCCACUAUUACUGGGCUUAAAGCGUCCGUAGCUGGAUUGUUAAGUCUCUUGGGAAAUCCACCGGCUCAACCGAGAAACUGGCAAUCUAGGGACCGGGAGAGGUGAGAGGUACUCCAGGGGUAGGAGUGAAAUCCUGUAAUCCUUGGGGGACCACCUGUGGCGAAGGCGUCUCACUAGAACGGCUCCGACAGUGAGGGACGAAAGCUGGGGGAGCAAACCGGAUUAGAUACCCGCGUAGUCC
rnacentral:rRNA from 1 species